GAAGGUCUUGGUGCACUCUGUGAUGUUGAACUUCGAGAACACUGCAAGAUGCAGGAACUAUUUGGAUGCUAAUGAAAAUAUUGGCUGCAGGUUCCUCCUUGAAUGAAAUUAAAAGCUUGGGAGGAAAUUUACAUUCAAUAGUGUACUAAGUUUGAAAAUAAUGUAUGAUCCUGAUUCUCAAAUGUACCUCAUUUGUAACCCCCUAAACCCACCGUGAUCUGAUACAUUUGGAUAUAGAUUUAAACUGCUAUAAUGGUAUAUGGACAUAUAAUGGUAGAUGGACACACUGAUCUGUUUUGUUGUCAAUGCCUACUAUGUUCAGUUGUGCUGAAGCAAAGCAAGAAUUUCAGUCCUAUUUGAAUAGUGAUGUGUUAUAUCUGGACUUUCAGAAGGCUUUCGACAAUGUCCCACAUAAGAGAUUAGUAUUCAAACUUAAAGCACACGGUAUUGGGGGUUCGGUAAUGAUGUGGAUAGAUAACUGGCUGUCAGACAGGAAGCAAAGAGUAGAAGUAAACGGGUCCUUUUCACAAUGGCAGGCAGCGACUAGUGGGGCAGCCCAAGGCCCGGUGCGGGGACCAGCAGUGACUAGUGGGGCAGCGCAAGGCUCAGUGCGUGGGCCAGCAGUGACUAGUGGGGUACCGCAAGGCUCAGUGCUGGGACCCCAGCUAUUUACGAUAUAUAUUAAUGAUUUGGACGAGGGAAUUGAAUGCAACAUCUCCAAGUUUGCGGAUGACACGCUGCUGGGGGGCAGUGUUAGCUGUGUGUCAGGAGGAUGCUAGGAGGCUGCAAGGUGAUUUGAAUAGGCUGGGUGAGUGGGAAAAUGCAUGGCAGAUGCAGUAUCAUGUGGAUAAAUGUGAGGUUAUCCACUUUGGUGGCAAAAACAGGAAAGUAGACUAUUAUCUGAAUGGUGGCCGAUUAGGAUAAGUGGAGAAGCAACGAGACCUGGGCCCGUCAUGGUACACCAGUCAUUAAAAUUUGGCAUGCAGGUGCAGCAGGCAGUGAAGAAAGCGAUAUAUAUUAAUGAUUUGGACGAGGGAAUUGAAUGCAACAUCUCCAAGUUUGCGGAUGACACGCUGCUGGGGGGCAGUGUUAGCUGUGUGUCAGGAGGAUGCUAGGAGGCUGCAAGGUGAUUUGAAUAGGCUGGGUGAGUGGGCAAAUGCAUGGCAGAUGCAGUAUCAUGUGGAUAAAUGUGAGGUUAUCCACUUUGGUGGCAAAAACAGGAAAGUAGACUAUUAUCUGAAUGGUGGCCGAUUAGGAUAAGUGGAGAAGCAACGAGACCUGGGCGUCAUGGUACACCAGUCAUUAAAAUUUGGCAUGCAGGUGCAGCAGGCAGUGAAGAAAGCGUAUGGUAUGUUAGCAUUCAUAGCAAACGGAUUUGAGUAUAGGAGCAGGGAGGUUCUACUGCAGUUGUACAGGGUCUUGGUGAAACCACACCUGGAGUAUUGCGUACAGUUUUCGUCUGCUAAUCUGAGGAAAGACAUUGUUGCCAUACAGAGAAGGUUCACCAGACUGAUUCCUGAGAUGGCAGGACUUUCAUGUGAAGAAAGACUGGAUAGAUUCGGUUUGUACUCGCUAGAAUUUUGAAGGUUGAGGGGGGAUCUUAUAGAAACUUCCAAAUUCUUAAGGGGUUGGACAGGCUGGAUGCAGGAAGAUUGUUCCCGGUGUUGGGGAAGUCCAGAACAAGGGGUCACAGUUUAAGUAUAAGGAGGAAGUAUUUUAGGACCGAGAUGAGGAAAACAUUUUUCACACACAGAGAGUGGUCAAUCUCUGGAAUUCUCUGCCACAGAAGGUAGUUGAGACCACAGUUCAAUGGCUAUAUUUAAGAGGGAGUUGAAUGUGGCCCUUGUGGCUAAAGGGAUCAGGGGGUAUGGAGAGAAGGCAGGUACAGGAUACUGAUUUGGAUGAUCAGCCAUGCUCAUAUUGAAUGGCGGUGCAGGUUCGAAGGGCCGAAUGGCCUCUACACCCGAACCUUUAGUCUAUGUUUCUAUGUUUCUAUCAGGGACACAUGGUAAUAAACUCACUUGUACUUGAACUUGAGCUAAAGCUCUAACAAAGCUGCAAGGCGCGAAUAUUGACAAUGUUCCCUUCGUUACAGAACAGCAGAUUCCCUCGUUUGCCAUUAUCUUAGACAUUUGCCACCCACUAAUAGCAUUUAAUAUAAUGAGGAUCCAAGUCUAAACUUAUCCAAUGUAUUUGUGACCUCAGGAAAUUCCCGAUUUGUUUUGUCCAAAUUUUACAAGAUGAUUUUUAAUCUGACGUAAACAUUAUCAACACAAAUGGUGUGUGAAUCCUGAGCUGGGUAGAAAGUGGAAGGGUGUUUGCCCUUCCAAAGAAACUGUGUGAGACUGUGAAUCUCAGUGUGUCGCCGUGCUUGGAGCUAUGUCACCCAGUCUCUGUACUCGUUCACCAUCAGUCUAUUCUCACAAGGUAGGUGACCUCACUGCAGUCUCAUUUCAUGUCAAAGAGAGGUUUAACAUGUAUCCACAAACUGAACAAUGUUGGAUGUCCUGUAAACUGUGAUAUAUCACUCACUCAAUCAGCUUGUUCCACUUUACAUUUGACAUGGGCAUACAAACUUUAUUUAUUUCGUUUUGUCUCCUUUAUUUCCCACAGCUAAAUGACCAUCACAUGCCAUUUUCUUACUGGUGUCAAUAGACAACAGGUGCAGGAGUAGAGACCAUUCGGCCCUUCCAGCCAGCACCGCCAUUCAAUGUGAUCAUGGCUGAACAUCCCCAAUCAGUACCCCGUUCCUGCCUUCUCCCCGUAUCCCCUGACUCCGCUAUCUUUAAGAGCCCUAUCUAUCUCUUUCUUGAAAGCAUCCAGAGAACCGGCCUCCACAGCCCUCUGAGGCAGAUAAUUCCACAGACUCCCAACUCUCUGUCAGAAAAAGUAUUUUCUCAUCUCCGUUUCCUAGUCAAUCUAAAUUGAAUACUUUUGUUCCCGUUUCGCCGGCAACGUCCUGGGACCGUUUGAGAAUAUUGAAUGUCCCUUACCAUUGUGUUGUCUUCUCUGUUCAUUUACUCACUAGCGGGGUCUGAUUUAGUUGAGAACAUUUUACCGAGUGGUAGAAGGUAAUUGAGUCAAACAUUAAAAAGGCGGAGUACAGAGGCAUGAUUUGGGACAAGGCGAACCGAUAGCGGUUGAAUAUGGUGGUGAAAUCCCAGAUUACUGAAGUGACAAUAUUCCAGCAGCAGUAUCCACCAAGCUAAUGUAUUUUCCCCGUGUAAUUGUGUGCGGCCAACUCUAAAAUGCCCCAGGGUCAGGAGUUUCAAACUGGCUGUACUCAAUACAAAAUUUGCCAACUACCAAUUUACUGAUCCUUAGUCUAAAACUGCACCUUGUUUCCAAACAGAGAAUGUACAAAAUGAGGCCGAGGUUUCUCUGCAACAGUUUGCCAGCUGGUUUGAGGUUGGGUUUCUUUGUUUUCCUGCUUGGACCAGUUUCCACGCAGAAAAACAUAAAUCGAAUGAAUUUAUUGGAUAAUGGAGAUGACAUUGUGUUAAACGGACCGGACAAUGCAGAGAAAGACACUGUUGUUGGCUGGGAAUGGAAACCACACUCAGGGAAGGAAAUCAGAAUAUUGAAUUUUAGAAGAACGGAGGGCUAUUGGAUCAAAGAGAAUGCCUCUGGCAACUUGAACCCGGGGAUGAAUGUGGGUACAUAUACCCUUGAUCUAACAAUCGAUAAACCCACAUUUAAAUUGGCGGGAAUUUUCACUUUAACCCAAACAAAACCGAGAAAACAAAUCCUGAAACAAUAUGAACUAUUUGUGAUGAAAGGUGAGUGGGUGCGAUAAGGAUCAAUAAUGUUGAUCUACCUAGGCACCAAAUCCAGUCACGCCUCAAGACCCAUCUCUUCACCUCUGCCUAUCCUUAGCCCCACGUGCCGCCCCUUUUCAUCUGUGCAUUAAUUGCCUCAUACUGUGUUUUGCAUUGAAUUCUGUAUUUACUUUGUGUACUAGUCAUGUCGCUACUAUUUAUUUCAUUCCCCUUACGUGUUUUUCUGCUAAUUUUUUGUAAGGUGUCCUUGAGACUCUUGAAAGGCACCCAUAAAUAAAAUGUAUUAUUAUUAUUAUUAAUCUCAAAUCCUGAAACAAUAUGAAAUAUUUGGGAUGAAAGUUGAGGCAAGUCCACAGAACCCUCUGCUGGGCAGUGACGUUACACUCAGCUGCACCAUCUCCAGACUUUCAGAUAAAGGCAGUCUUCACUGGAGACCCAUGGACUCAUCCCAGCAGAACAGGGGCAACACUGAUCAGAUCCGCCUGGAUAACACGGUCUAUCUGAUGGUUCGACACGUUGCAGUGGAGGAUGGGACGCUGUAUGUGUGUGAAGUGCGGGAAAACGGAAACAUUGUUCACACAAGUAACGGAGAAUUUACUGUAGACAAGUGUAAGUGUGCACACCUCCCAUUGGAUAUCAAGUAGACACUUGUAUCACGGUGCUUCUUGUAAUAUUAUGUGUGCGCCCCGUGAAGAAAUGUGGCAGUGACCAACUGCUCUCCAGUAUAAAAUGUUGCAAUGAUCAGGGAGAAUUUUCCAGAAAGUCUCUGUGUGGAGCAGCUGCCCGAUUGUCUCUGUGUGACAGACACACACACAGCACAGGAGGGAGAUGUCUUUCUGUAACCAUUGUUCAGUAAAGUAUUUUGUCAGUUUAUCUUGUCAUCAAUGCUCCAGUAUCUGAGACUGAGAUACUGAUACAGGACUCAUCUUGCCAUCAAUGCUCCAGUAUCUGAGACUGAGAUACUGAUACAGGACUCAUCUUGGCAUCAAUGCUCCAGUAUCUGAGACUGAGAUACUGAUACAGGACUCAUCUUGCCAUCAAUGCUCCAGUAUCUGAGACUGAGAUACUGAUACAGGACUCAUCUUGUCAUAAAUGCUCCAGUAUCUGACACUGAGAUAAUGAUACAGGACUCACGUCAAAGUGUCAGAUAGAAAGUGUAGUCACCAAAACUUGCUGCUCACUCACACACUGGGGGUCCCGACCCACACAUAAACACUGAACAACAAUCCAUCCCCUCUCCCCACACUGACCCUUCUCUCCGAGUCUGGUGUUGCUUGAAGUGAUUCCAGCUGCUGCAGACUCGGGCUUGGGAUCAGCAUUCAGCUGGGAGCAGGACCCGGGAACAGGGAAGGACAGGGAAUCAAUGGGUGUGAAUGGGAGAGGGAUGGUGGGAAUAAUGGGAAUGAGCCGACCCACUUGAAGUGCCAACGUGUCCGGGUCAGUCCCCGUGCAGGCAUCCUCUGGGCUGCUUCUGUCCACAGCCUGAACCUGAACCCGAACCUGAACCUGAACCCGAACCUGAACCUGAACCUGAACCUGAACCUGAACCUGAACCUGAACCUGAACCUGAACC